rnacentral:sRNA from 1 species
UUCUUCUUUAGCUCCUU